rnacentral:rRNA from 1 species
AUUGAACGCUGGCGGCAGGCCUAACACAUGCAAGUCGAGCGAGCGGCGGACGGGUGAGGAAUGUCUGGGAAACUGCCUGAUGGGGGGGGAUAACUACUGGAAACGGUAGCUAAUACCGCAUACCAUCAGAUGUGCCCAGAUGGGAUUAGCUAGUAGGUGGGGUAACGGCUCACCUAGGCGACGAUCCCUAGCUGGGCUGCGAGGAUGACCAGCCACACUGGAACUGCGCCACGGUCCAGACUCCUACGUGAGGCAGCAGUGGGGAAGAUUGCACAAUUGGCGCAAGCCUGAUGCAGCCAUGCCGCGUGUGUGAAGAAGGGAUUCGGGUUGUAAAGCACUUUCAGCGGGGAGGCGUUACCCGCAGAAGAAGCACCGGCUAACUCCGUGCCAGCAGCCGCGGUAAUAC